rnacentral:rRNA from 1 species
AUUGAACGCUGGCGGCAUGCCUUACACAUGCAAGUCGAACGGUAACAGGUCUUCGGAUGCUGACGAGUGGCGAACGGGUGAGUAAUACAUCGGAACGUGCCCGAGAGUGGGGGAUAACGGAGCGAAAGCUUUGCUAAUACCGCAUACGAUCUCAGGAUGAAAGCAGGGGACCGCAAGGCUUUGCGCUCACGGAGCGGCCGAUGGCAGAUUAGGUAGUUGGUGAGGUAAAGGCUUACCAAGGCGACGAUCUGUAGCGGGUCUGAGAGGAUGAUCCGCCACACUGGAACUGAGACACGGUCCAGACUCCUACGGGAGGCAGCAGUGGGGAAUUUUGGACAAUGGGCGCAAGCCUGAUCCAGCCAUGCCGCGUGAGUGAAGAAGGCCUCGGUUGUAAG